GGGAAUGUGACUCAGCUGUAAGAGUGCUUGCCUUGCAUGCAUGAGGCCCUGGGUUCCAUUCCUCAGCACCA
rnacentral:tRNA from 1 species